ensembl:lncRNA
UUCCUCGCGUCGUUUCUUCGGAGCCUCCAAACCUCCACAAACCUCCACCAACUCCUCCACCUCCACCGACCCCAGACACCGCCUUCAGGAGCCGCCGAGGAGCCGCCGAGGAGCCGCCGAGGAGCCACGACAGCGACUUUUUGAGCCGUUUUCGGAGUUUGGCGCAAACUCCCCACAGGAUUUGUCGGUGAUAAUGUUGAGUUUAACUUAGUGAAGACGUGUAACGGAGUAACUGGACCGUUUGUUCAAAGUCCGCUCGUGAAAUGCUCUCUGGCUGUCGCCGCAGGGAAGACUUGGGUUCUGCUGCAUUUUUCCAACACCGGACCGAUGUGGAGGCGGCCGUCCCGUCCUGCUCCGCUCCCAUGACUUUGGGCGCUCUCCAAACCAUGCUGGAGUGUUUGAGCGUUCCAUCUUUGAACACGCGAGGGUCGACGUAUUCAAGAAAUAACUCUACAAAACGAUCUUAUGGACAGAAACUAUUGACUCAUGGACAUUAUCACAAGGGACAGUUGUCAAAAAGCGAUUCUGUCGAUGCUAGCUCAAACGAUGAAAUGCGUCCAAAUUUUAAGAGGUCACCUUCCCCGGGAUCAAACAUUAAUCUUCAGCCCUUAACCGAUGCUUCAGUUGACUCUGUCCCGCCCAGUGCACCGCUCGCUGGUAGUAAACAAUAUCUGGACGAUGAUCAAAUCCUGCAAAAGAUCGAGAACAAGCUUAAAGAAUUCAGAGCCAAAAUGAAGGAGUUGAAAAAGCGAAGUUCCUCUGAUGCUUUGAACUGCAAACCUUUAAGUUCAACUCAGGGCUGCACAUCCGUCGCGUCUGCCGUGACUGGAGCAGCUGUAAAAGCCACAGAGAAGGUCGUGGCGAGGGCCGUCAGUGAAAACGAGCGUUCAAAGAGCAGCAGGCAAGAUCCAGAGGGGACUCAAAUGAAGAGCGCGCCAGAGGGGACCCAAAUGAAGAGCGCGCCAGAGGGGACCCAAAUGAAGAGCGCACCAGAGGGGACCCAAAUGAAGAGCGCGCCAGAGGGGACCCAAGUGAGGAGCGCGCCAGAGGGGACCCAAGUGAGGAGCGCGCCAGAGGGGACCCAAAUGGAGAGCGCGCCAGAGGGGACCCAAAUGAAGAGCGCGCUGACUGAAGAUCAUUCUACAGAGCAUGUUCGGAUAAUGCGGGAGACUGCUGCAGUUCACUCAGAGAUGGAGGACAAGGAGAGCAGUUCUGAGGUUCUCAGGGCCAUGUCUGAUCCGCCAUUGGAGGAAUUGGUUAAGGAAAACCAAAGCUUUACUGUACACCACAACCCACCAAGUCAAGUACACGUUUGUGCAGGAACUGACCCGCGUAGCCCUCAAAAGGAUAUGAUCAAGAAAGAGGACAUUGAACCUGAGGCUGUGGACUUAAUGUUAAGCAAGUCUCCUCCAAAGUUGUUAGCAUGUACAACUAAGGACCAGCAACCCUUUGGUUCGGCUUCAAACGACCAAACUUUUCACAGAGUUGAAAAGUCCAAACAAAGUCCAUCCAACUCUCCUGCUGGUCAUGGAAACUUGACUCUGAACUCGAGUCAGACUGGGGAAUGCAAUAAUACCAAUGUUAAAUCCUUUGUUGCUGACUGCAAACAAGUAAUUAAGCCUGAAGCACAAUCAGAAGAACUGAUAGAAAGCGAGGAAAAGGCGGUCCAGGCUAGUAGGGAGAUGGAUUCGUUCCCUUGCAUAAGUGAGGAGUGGGGUAGUCUGAGAGAUCCAAAGUAUGACGACAUAUCAGAAGAAGAGGUUGAUGUAACGCCACAGGUUUCCCCACACGCUGUGACAAAUGCUACAUCAGAAGAAGCAGUACCUCCUACACCUGAACAGCAAGACAGUUUUGAAAAAGUACCUCGUCCAAAAUAUGCCCAAGCGACAUCAUUUUUACAACAGGAAGUACAUUCAGAGGAGGAUUCAGAGGAGGAGUCGGAUUCAGAGGAGGUGAUACUUUUUGCGACGGAGUUAGAGUUAAUGGAUGAGAUCAUUGUUCUGGACUCUAGUGACGAUGAGGAGGAAUUGGAGUGUGUUUCCAUUGCAGAUCAACACCCUGAUUUUCCAAAAGUUGAAGAGUUUGAGACAUUUGAGAGUUUUUGGCAAUUCAAAUUAAAACAAUUCAUGAAGAACCUACCUAAUCCUUUGGUAACCAGAAACGCCGAACCAGGAGCUCCUACUCAGUCUGACCCACCCAUUUGCAGUGGACUUGAAUCUUUACCUCUUGAAAAGGCUGCUGCUGAUCAGGUGUCACCUCAUUGUAGUUCACAGAAACAUGGGAACGCUUUUGAAAAGGCCACUGAAGAUUUGGGAAUUUUAAAAAAGUUUGCUCCUGAACAAGUGCUAACCCAUGGCUCUGAGGACAGCAGUGACACCGAAGAUAGUUUGGAUUACCCUUCAUGCACAAAAUCCAACUAUCUGACUGCGUCCAAUCAGGUUAAAGCCCCGUCUCUACAGUCCAAUGACUCAAACGGUGAAGAGCAGGGAGAGGAACUCCAGGCUUCACCAUUGGACUCUGCGGAUUGGUUUCCUGAUUUGUCUCAGGAUGAAAGUGAGAAUGAAGGAAAACCGACAAAAAGGUUCGUAAGCUCUCCCACUGUUGGGGCCCAAGCAACUGUAGGACUCACUGAAAGUACAGAGCCUGACAGGUCUAGAGCUCCACCCAAAAAGGCAAAGUACAAAUCACGCCAUAAUUCUGAGAAUGAUCAAGAUGGGAGUGAGACAUGUAGCUUUUCAGCUGAAGCGUCCACCCAACUACCCAAGAGGCAAGAGUCUUUCAAAUCUAGGUAUAAUCAACCAGAUGUUGGACCACAAAGACCUCGGCAAAACUCCUGCUCUGGUCAGAAUGGCUCAACGGUCCACCGAGCAAUCAAACGAAAAAUACCCAAAACUAACCCCAGAAGUGAAGAACAAGUUAAAAGAAAAAGGCUUUCCCCAGACACGGGUAAACAAGGGCCUCAAAAUAUGCCAGAGAAGGCCAGGGUAAAUGCUACCUGUAGAGCUAAUGCUCAGAAUGCUAAUUUAAAUUUGUCCAAAGAACGGAAACUACAUGGGAAGUUGGUUUCAAGACGGUCUUCAUUGCCCAACCAAAGCAAUGGAAAGUCACCUGAAGCUCAGGCAUUUGGUCUACCUGCCCAAAACCGGAGUCAGCCAACCCCACCGAGUCCACCAAAAUCUCACAACUCAUUUUUAAACCCAAAUGUGAAUUCGUACAGCACUGCGGAAUCAACACCAGCCAAGCAAGCACUUGUCAGGAACUGGUCAAAGAACCACAUCUCAAUCCCGAAAGAGCGGAGAAGCAGCUACGAAGCAGAAAGCACAAGAAUGGUCCAGGAUGGAAAGACACUUAAACAAAGUCCAUCCAAGUCACGGAAGAGACGCAACUCUCAAACUCUGCAGACGCGACUGAUGAAGAAGACCAAGCUUCAAGCCCAGACAUUGACCCAAGCCGUACACCAGAAAGAGUCCACCGUGCAGAGUGUGUUGUUUGAUUUCUGUUUUAAUAAUUGCUCAUUUUACGAUGUUGGACUUGACUUAUGUACUUGAAUUUAUCUUCCUGACCCUUGUAAUUCUAGGUCAAGUGACCCUCGGUCAGGGGUACAAGUGGAAAGACAAGACACGAGUAGAUCAUAUAGAUGAGGAAUGGCUGGACACGAUGUACGGUGAAACCUUCAAGAGGCCCCAUUACUGACCUGCCCUGACCGUUUUAACCGAACCUUUGACUCUUAAUGGUGUACAUAGACUUUCAACUGUUUAUCUUUUUAUACCUAUUGCCUUUGUUAAAUAUUUAAAGUUUAAAUGAUGCAUUUUUUAUACUGUUCUGUCAAUGUUUUAUAAGUUCAUGUUAAUAGUUUUAAAAUGUUUUCUUCUGAAUAAAACAUACAUGCC